rnacentral:piRNA from 1 species
UUCAUUGCCUGUUGCUGCCUUAGCCCC